AGUGAACGCUGGCGGUAGGCCUAACACAUGCAAGUCGAACGGCAGCACAGUAAGAGCUUGCUCUUACGGGUGGCGAGUGGCGGACGGGUGAGGAAUACAUCGGAAUCUACUUUUUCGUGGGGGAUAACGGAGGGAAACUUACGCUAAUACCGCAUACGACCUACGGGUGAAAGCAGGGGAUCUUCGGACCUUGCGCGAUUGAAUGAGCCGAUGUCGGAUUAGCUAGUUGGCGGGGUAAAGGCCCACCAAGGCGACGAUCCGUAGCUGGUCUGAGAGGAUGAUCAGCCACACUGGAACUGAGACACGGUCCAGACUCCUACGGGAGGCAGCAGUAGGGAAUAUUGGACAAUGGGCGCAAGCCUGAUCCAGCCAUACCGCGUGAGUGAAGAAGGCCUUCGGGUUGUAAAGCCCUUUUGUUGGGAAAGAAAAGCAGCAGGUGAAUACCCCGCUGUUCUGACGGUACCCAAAGAAUAAGCACCGGCUAACUACGUG
rnacentral:rRNA from 1 species